UACGGAGGGAGCUAGCGUUAUUCGGAAUUACUGGGCGUAAAGCGCACGUAGGCGGCUUUGUAAGUUAGAGGUGAAAGCCUGGAGCUCAACUCCAGAAUUGCCUUUAAGACUGCAUCGCUUGAAUCCAGGAGAGGUGAGUGGAAUUCCGAGUGUAGAGGUGAAAUUCGUAGAUAUUCGGAAGAACACCAGUGGCGAAGGCGGCUCACUGGACUGGUAUUGACGCUGAGGUGAGAAAGCGUGGGGAGCAAACAGGAUUAGAUACCCUGGUAGUCCACGCCGUAAACGAUGAUAACUAGCUGUCUGGGCUCUUAGAGCUUAGGUGGCGCAGCUAACGCAUUAAGUUAUCCGCCUGGGGAGUACGGCCGCAAGGUUAAAACUCAAAU
rnacentral:rRNA from 1 species